AGGACGAACGCUGGCGGCGUGCCUAACACAUGCAAGUCGAGCGAGUGAAUCUCCUUCGGGAGUGAAGCUAGCGGCGGACGGGUGAGUAACACGUGGGCAACCUGCCUCAUAGAGGGGAAUAGCCUUUCGAAAGGAAGAUUAAUACCGCAUAAGAUUGUAGCUUCGCAUGAAGUAGCAAUUAAAGGAGCAAUCCGCUAUGAGAUGGGCCCGCGGCGCAUUAGCUAGUUGGUGAGGUAACGGCUCACCAAGGCGACGAUGCGUAGCCGACCUGAGAGGGUGAUCGGCCACAUUGGGACUGAGACACGGCCCAGACUCCUACGGGAGGCAGCAGUGGGGAAUAUUGCACAAUGGGGGAAACCCUGAUGCAGCAACGCCGCGUGAGUGAUGACGGCCUUCGGGUUGUAAAGCUCUGUCUUCAGGGACGAUAAUGACGGUACCUGAGGAGGAAGCCACGGCUAACUACGUG
rnacentral:rRNA from 1 species